GAUGAACGCUGACAGAAUGCUUAACACAUGCAAGUCAACUUGAACUUCGGUUUGUGUGGCGGGCGGGUGAGUAACGCGUAAAGAACUUGCCUCACAGAUAGGGACAACAUUUGGAAACGAAUGCUAAUACCUGAUAUUAUGAUUAUAUGGCAUCGUAUAAUUAUGAAAGCUAUAUGCGCUGUGAGAGAGCUUUGGGUCCCAUUAGCUAGUUGGAGAGGUAACGGCUCACCAAGGCGAUGAUGGGUAGCCGGCCUGAGAGGGUGAUCGGCCACAAGGGGCCUGAGACACGACCCUUACGCAUACGUGAGGAAGCAGUGGGGAAUAUUGGACAAAGGACCAAGAGUCUGAUGCAGCAAUUCUGUGUGCACGAUGAAGUUUUUCGGAAUGUAAAGUGCUUUCAGAUGGCGAGAAAAAAAUGACGGUACCAACAGAAGAAGCGACGGCUAAAUACGUG
rnacentral:rRNA from 1 species